GGUGAACGCUGGCGGUAGGCCUAACACAUGCAAGUCGAACGGCAGCACAGUAAGAUCUUGCUCUUACGGGGGGCGAGUGGCGGACGGGUGAGUAAUACAUCGGAAUCUACUUUUUCGUGGGGGAUAACGUAGUGAAACUUAGUCUAAUACCGCAUACUACCUACUGUUGAAAGCCUGGGAUGUUGGAACCUGGGUCUACUUAAUGAUACGAUGUCGGAUUGGUAAGUUCGCGGGGUAAAGACCCACCAAGGCGACGAUGCGAAGGUGGUCUGAGAGGAUGAUCAGCCCCACUGGAACUGAGACAAGGUACAGACUCCUAUGGGAGGCAGCAGUGGGGAAUAUUGGACAAUGGGAGCAAGCGUGAUCCAGCCCUACCGCGUGGGUGAAGAAGGCAUUCGGGUUGGAAAGCCAUUCUGUUGUGACAGAAAAGCAGUAGGUUAAUCGCGCGCUGUUAUGACGGUACCCAAAGAAUAAGCACCGGCUAACUUCGUG
rnacentral:rRNA from 1 species